UGGGGAAUCUUGCACAAUGGGGCGAACCCUCGAUGCAGCGACGCCGCGUGAGCGAUGAAGGUCUUCGGAUCGUAAACUUCUUUUGCAGGGGAAGAACGGCUUGGUGAAGAGCCAAGUUUGACGGUACCCUGCGAAUAAGCCCCGGCUAACUACGUGCCAGCAGCCGCGGUAAUACGUAGGUGGCAAGCGUUACUCGGAAUUACUAGGCGUAAAGCAGCAGGUAGGGUGGUUGGGUAAGUCUGCUAUGAAAUCUCCCGGCUUAACCGGGAGGGGUUGGCGGAUACUGUCCGGCUGGAGUGUGGCAGAGGUAACUGGAAUUCCAGGUGUAGCGGUGAAAUGCGUAGAUAUCUGGAGGAACACCGAUGGCGAAAGCAGGUUACUGGGCCAAUACUGACACUGAGCUGCGAAAGCUAGGGGAGCAAACA
rnacentral:rRNA from 1 species